GAAAUGCGAUAAUUAAUGUGAAUUGCAGAAUUCAGUGAAUCAUCGAGUCUUUGAACGCACAUUGCGCCCCCUGGUAUUCCGGGGGGCAUGCCUGUCCGAGCGUCAUUGCUGCCCUCAAGCACGGCUUGUGUGUUGGGCUUCCGUCCCUGGCAACGGGGACGGGCCCAAAAGGCAGUGGCGGCACCAUGUCUGGUCCUCGAGCGUAUGGGGCUUUGUCACACGCUCCCGUAGGUCCAGCUGGCAGCUAGCCUCGCAACCAAUCUUUUUAACCAGGUUGACCUCGGAUCAGGUAGGGAUACCCGCUGAACUUAAGC
rnacentral:misc_RNA from 1 species